rnacentral:lncRNA from 13 species
AUGUUAAGCCCGGUUCCAUCCACAGCCCAGCGUGAAGCGCAUGGGUAUAACCAGUGGGUGGAUUCGAUUAUGCUCAGCCGCUGGUCACCGGGAAAAGACCCGUCACGUCAUCGGAAGAAAGCGGGGAGAGAGGAGCGCAAUUCUGAAAUCUGUGGCGCUCGGCCAUUUUGUCAACAAGAUGUAUCAUGGGAUGACACAGAGACCUCCCAGGAGAUGUCAUCUAGCCCCUCCCAACUGCAUCAAACAACAGAUAUGCUGUUCCAAAAGGACCCAAAUGUAGGCCAGGCCUAUACUUUAAACUACACAUUUUAGUCAGAAGCUGUUAGUAUCUAAUCUUGUGGAUCCCUGAAUUAUACCUUUCAUAUUAACUGCCACUCCAAAUAAUGCGUAGAGAGUUUACCGAGAGUCUGAUGACUCUCACAACAAGGGUAAUCACAACCAGGGUAAGAAGAAAUAGCUAAUCAUGACCCUCUCAAAGAGAAAAGGAUGAAUGCAUGUGGCAAUGCUAAGUACACAAGUAUCUAGAACAACGUUUUUGAGGGCUUAGCUGAGAUGGUGCAACGUGAAAUAAUAAGAGAAGUAAAAGAAAUGGACGUUUUUAGUGUGAUUGCAGAUGAAACCAAAGAUUUAAAGAAAAAAUAACACGUCUUUAAUUGUGAGGUACUAUUACAACAAGGGCCAUCCAUGAAAGCUUUUUACACUUUCAGUCAGCUGAAAGCUUAGAUGCAGCAGGUCUCACAAAAAUGAUAAUUGAUUGCCUUGAAAAACAUGGUCUGGGUCACAAAUAAUAUUGUGGGGCAAGUCUAUGACGGUGCAUCCGUCAUGAGUGGAAAGCAUUCUGGUGUGUCUCUAAGGACUAAAAACAGUGCAAGAUUAGCAUUUUAUUGCAGAUCACUGCAAAAUAAGUGUACAAACAGUGUGUAAAAGACAGCCUAAAACAAGCUUAAGAUGUCACAACUCAUUGAUGAUGAGCACUGUAGGACAGAAAAAUAGUGACCAAAGUGAGGUUGAGAGCUUCCAAAGAGCUAUCUCAGGUGCUCGACAGUCUCACAGCUGAGCUGCAAUGGCGUUUUUCAAAAAGGAAUUGCGAGAUAAUGCAAAGGGGUCCAGUCUUUCAACCCAAAGAGGACCACAUUCUUGAAUUAGGAGCCUUUGCUCAGACCUUUUAGUAAGAUUUAGAGGACCUCAAACAUGAGGUUCAUCAAACCAAGCGGCUUCUUGAUAGGAGAGAGAAAAGUGGAAGGGACAGACAGUCUACUCUCCUUGACUUUGUUGUGUAUCUAGAACCUUAUAAAGAGGUAUUCCAUGACCUAUUUCCACUUAGUAAGAUUUCUGUUGUUUACACCAGUCAGCAGUGCUUCUUGCGGGAGAAGCUUCUCAGAUUUAAAACUGAUUAAAACCCACCUUAGGACAACAAUGGUUGAUGACAGGUUAAGUCACCUCGGAAUUCUCAGUGUUGAGUCAAGGCGGGCACGCUCCCUCAACAUGGAUGAGUUUGUGAAACAUUUUGUCAGUUCUCACCAGAACCGCAGAAUUAUACUGUUUUAAAUCUACCUAGGAUCAUUUGGCACUUAGGCGGUCCCUCUGGUCAUGAUUAAAACCUGCACUGUGUACUAGUACACUGACAUUCUAAAAUGAUAUCAUGUAUCAUGUCACACAUAUUUAAUUUGGUCUUGAUUAGGCCAAUUCCAAAACUUUUCUUUGCUAUUAGUUAACAUAAUAUAUAUGAGCAUAAAUAUGAUACUGUAAGUUUGUAAUAUUGACGGGCACCAAAAUUAUUUUUAUUUUUCAAGUCCAUUUCUGUUUGAUACCCGGUAUGUCAAAUUGCAGUGUUUUUUUGUAAAUUUACUAUUUUGUAAAUAAACUAUGCAAA